rnacentral:rRNA from 1 species
AUUGAACGCUGGCGGCAUGCCUUACACAUGCAAGUCGAACGGUAACGCGGGGGCAACCCUCGGCGACGAGUGGCGAACGGGUGAGUAAUACAUCGGAACGUACCCACGUAGUGGGGGAGUAGCUCGGCGAAAGACCGGAGUUAAUACCGCAUACGACCUAUGGGUGGAAAGACGGGGGAGUCGCAAGACCUCGCGCUAUUGGAGCGGCCGAUGUCGGAUUAGCUAGUUGGUGAGGUAAAGGCUCACCAAGGCUACGAUCCGUAGCUGGUCUGAGAGGACGACCAGCCACACUGGGACUGAGACACGGCCCA